UUUUUUUUACAAUUAAACACUUAGUAGCCAAAAUAUCAAGAAUUUGUAUAGAAAGCUCUUAAAAAUAUCAAGAACUUUUUGAUCUAUAAAAAUGGUCCCCAAAAUUUGGAUAUAUAAAGCGAGAUAACUCUAACACUUAAUUUAGCUGAAAUUUAGAUUUGUCUCCCUGUGAUGUCUCUUGCGUCUUGACAGAAUCUGAACUCAAAAUGUGCAUCAUGUUAUUCUCCUAUUUUUUUAACUGGUUAUUAUUUAUCAUAAAAUGAUUAUAUUGAUUGAUAUGUAUAUAAAUGCUGCAUAUUUUAGACUGUCACUUUUGCAUGCAAAACCAAAGAUUUAGCCCUUCAUUCGGAAGAAGAUAUGUUUUAAUAGAAUUUAUAAAUCUG
rnacentral:lncRNA from 1 species